UACGGAGGGGGCUAGCGUUGUUCGGAAUUACUGGGUGUAAAGCGCGCGUAGGCGGACCUGCAAGUCGGGGGUGAAAGCCCGAGGCUCAACCUCGGAACUGCCUUCGAUACUGCGGGUCUCGAGUCCGGGAGAGGUGAGUGGAAUUCCUAGUGUAGAGGUGAAAUUCGUAGAUAUUAGGAAGAACACCAGUGGCGAAGGCGGCUCACUGGCCCGGUACUGACGCUGAGGCGCGAAAGCGUGGGGAGCAAACAGG
rnacentral:rRNA from 1 species